rnacentral:rRNA from 1 species
AAUCAACGCUGGCGGCGUGCCUAACACAUGCAAGUCGAACGCGAAAGCCCGCAAGGGUAAGUAGAGUGGCGCACGGGUGAGUAACACGUGGACAACCUGCCUUCGAGUGGGGAAUAACCUUCCGAAAGGAGGGCUAAUACCGCAUAACACCUCGGGACACAAGUUCUGGGGUUGAAAGAGCAAUUUGCUCGAAGAGGGGUCCGCGCCUGAUUAGCUAGUUGGUGAGGUAACGGCUCACCAAGGCUUCGAUCAGUAGCCGUCCUGAGAGGGAGCACGGCCACACUGGAACUGAGACACGGUCCAGACUCCUACGGGAGGCAGCAGUGGGGAAUUUUUGGCAAUGGGGGCAACCCUGAUCCAGCCAUGCCGCGUGCGGGAANAGGCCUGGUGU